UACUUUACUUGAAGUUUUCUACAUAAGAGUGACAUGACACAGUCAUGACACACAAACCCUAUCUUGUCAUGACAAAAUCGACUGACGCUUACUAAAAGAAACUUUAUGUUAUAAAUGCUUAUGACUUGUUUAUAAUGUUUUAUGACACGUUGAUGACAGUGUCAUAUCACUCGUGGAUACCGUCUCAGUGCGUCACAAAAUCUGCCGCCAGGUAUGUUGACGGAAGUUUGGGGGUUUAAGGUACUGCGUGAUUUCUGCGCCCAUGUAGCAGUGAUUCAUCUGUGCUUCCACCCAAUAUAGGCCCAUGUCAAUAUCUGCGUAGGAAGUCGUCUAGUCUUUAUCUGCAUUGUUAUUUGUACUUGUGAUUAUGCAGGCCACAAGAACUAAUUAGGUUGUUGUUUUUUUGUUGGCUCACUUUUACUCACAACAUGCUAACCGGCAACAUUGGAUUCCAUUCACUACGCUAAGCGAACUAGCGGCAGCGCUACCGGUGUUGCACCGGACUAAUGCAUGCACUGAGACAAAAAAUGUGUUGGUCCAUCUAUCUACAGCGAGGGAGGACCAUGAUAAGCCUUCUUCCAACAAAUGAGUGAUGGAGAAAACUCCAAACUGCUACAAUCUUGCUUCACUGGUUGCUUUAGUCGUCCUCGUCUUACUUCCUGUGAGGUCUGUAUGUAAGGAAGACAACUAUAAAUCACUGACAGAGGCUAAGCCGGAGACCUGUGUUCAAAAGAUGCAGAGUUAAAGAGAUUUAAAGAGAUUUAAAGACAUUGACUAUGACAGCUUUGUGGGUCUAAUGGGAAGGAGAAGUGCUGCUCAACCAAACACAAUGGGACUUUGCGGGUGCUUCUAGCUUUGCUUCACAUAGCUUUCUUCUGAUCUUAACAGUUCUCACAGGAAUUGUCCCAGAGUAUUUACAUAAAAGGCGUGGCCAAUUUGUCAAUCAUGGGAGGCAGAGAUUUUAAGGCUUUCUGUAGUGAGGAUGCCACACCUCAACAAAGGCUGUAAAACCUUAAGUCCUCACAGCUACUGUAACAAGAGGACAAUGUCCAUCCAUCUUCGACCGCUUAUCCGGUGUCGGGUCGCGGGGGCAGCAGCUCCAGUAGGGGACCCCAAACUUCCCUUUCCCGAGCCACAUCAACCAGCUCCGACUGGGGGAUCCCGAGGUGUUCCCAGGCCAGGUUGGAGAUAUAAUCUCUCCACCUAGUCCUAGGUCUUCCCCGGGGCCUCCUCCCAGCUGGAGGACAAUGUAUCAAAGUUAUUUACUAAAGAGAGGUGAAGGCAUAUUAACCAUGCAUGAAUGCUUCCAUAUUGUCACUGGCAAAUGUUUUGACAUAAUAACUAAUAAAAAAAAGCACAAUAAAAUAUGCAUUUAUUUAUAGUGAUUAAAGAACAAUUCACUGAUAACAAUCCUGCACAUUGAUCAUGUGUGCUCACAAACUCACACAAUAUUCAUUUACAACUAACAUAAAUAUAUUUCAGAUAUAAAAACAGUACUGUACACCUAUCUUUAAGAUACAAUUUGAAUGGAGUAGAUUGUCGAGGACUGGGUGUGUUGAAUCACUGGCAUUAGAAACCAGAUUUCAUGAUUAUCAGCUGUGUUGGGGCCCUCAGGACAAACUCCACUGAAGCCCUUUGUUACUAAAAAGUUUUACAUAUUUAAAUUAUUUCAAAAGAAAACCAUUAUGUAAAACAUGCUGAUUUGGUUUGAACUGGACUUUUUCAUUUGAAUAGAAAAAAAAACCUGAAAAUUCUCUGUGCUCAUAGACAGAAAAGAAACCGAGUAUAAACAUGUACAAAAGGCAUUUUGCAUUAGUUACCUCAUACGCUGUUUACCUUGGAGAGAGGGAGGUUUAAGUGGUU